rnacentral:rRNA from 1 species
AUCUAUGACCAAAUUUCUCUGAACACGUAAGUUUCAUUUGAUCCUAGAAGCUAAGUGGAGUCGAGUAUGAUCAGUACAUAGAUGGCAGAUGAGCAAGUAUUGUGAAGACGUUGGUG